GGGGAUUUAGCUCAGUGGCACAGUGCCUGCCUUUCAAGCACAAGGUCCUGAGUUCAAUCCCCAGAACCA
rnacentral:tRNA from 1 species